rnacentral:lncRNA from 1 species
CCCGGAGGCUUGGGGACGCUGAGGGGAGAGCUUCCUACCCGGGAUGCUGUGCGUGGCAGUGCUGAGCUGAAGGGAGAUGGCUUCCUACCCAGGAUACUGUGUGUCACAGGGCUGAGCUGAAGGGAGAUGGCUUCCUACCCAGGACGCUGUGUGUCACAGGGCUGAGCUGAAGGGAGAUGGCUUCCUACCCAGGACGCUGUGUGUCGCAGGGCUGAGCUGAAGGGAGAUGGCUUCCUACCCAGGAUGCUGUGUGCGGCAGGGCUGCUGCCCCAGAGAGGAGGCCUCGAAGGUUCUGAGACAAAUGGAGUCAUCAGCACAGACAGCAGCCAAAGAAGCCCCCACUCACUCGGCUCAGCGAGGGUCAGCGCCCCUUCUCCAUGCUUGCGCGACCUUCCCGAGGUGCGUGCCUGAGCUUGGGGGUGCCGAGGGCUGUCCCAGGCACCUGCCUCUGGGCCCUGAUUUUGGUCAGCCCACCCAGUCCUGCGUCUGUCCGGCCGGCCGCUGUCUCUUCUCCUGAGCGCUCCUCCAGCCGGUGGAGCCUCGUGGUCUCUCACACGCUGCCCGUGCCAGGGCCAGGUUGCAAUCCCCACCCCCUCGGCUUGGACCUGGCUCCAGGAAGAGGGCUUGAGAGCUCUGAGAAAGAGCCGCAGGCAAGGGGCAGGGUCAGAAAAGGAGGACGUCCCCUAGUGUCCAGCUCAGGACCUGAAAAGACACGUGGCUUUAGUAAGUGCAGACGGGAUGGGGGCUGGGUGUUUGGAAAUGGGAACACAGGUGUGGCUGGGGCUCCCACGGCAGCAGUGACCAUGGGUCAGAGGGAGGGCUGCAGGUGUACCUGAGACGAUGUU